rnacentral:lncRNA from 1 species
AGUAAAUGUGUCAAAAAAUUCUGUAUAAAUUCAAGAGAACAAAAAAGAAUCAAUUAGUCAAAACUUCAUCUGUCAAGUUCAUGAAUUUUAUGCCUGUGCUGAUUCAAAAGCUGAAUAUCAACAAAGAGAUUGGAGAUCACAAUUCCAAAGAUCUAACAACUUAUCUGAAUAAAAUCCAGAAGGCUGUAUUUUUUUUUUUUUUUCUUUCGGCCCAACCGGAGGACUCCAAGAAAUUCACCUAAAAAAAUCAAAUCCUUAAAAGGAUAAACAUAGCCAUAUGUAUCUUCCCAAUAACCCCCAUGAUAAUUACAAAUCUAGAACAAGUCCUCCUUUGGGGUGCGAGUCUGAGCAGUAAAUGUGUCAAAAAAUUCUGUAUAAAUUCAAGAGAACAAAAAAGAAUCAAUUAGUCAAAACUUCAUCUGUCAAGUUCAUGAAUUUUAUGCCUGUGCUGAUUCAAAAGCUGAAUAUCAACAAAGAGAUUGGAGAUCACAAUUCCAAAGAUCUAACAACUUAUCUGAAUAAAAUCCAGAAGGCUGUAUUUUUUUUUUUUUCAUUCAGCACAAACAGAAGAACUCAAGAAAAUCAACUAAAAAAAUCAAAUCAUUAAAAGGAUAAACAUAGCCAUAUGUAUCUUGCCAAUAACCCCCAUGAUAAUUACAAAUCUAGAACAAGUCCUCCUUUGGGGUGCGAGUCUGAGCAGUAAAUGUGAAAGAAGAAAAAAGACGACCUGGAGUUCUGAGGCCAUGAUAAUCGAUAAAAAAAAAAAUAAACAAAGACCGUCAAUGACUGGAACAUAGAGAUAACCAAGCAUGUGUGGCAGAUCUGUUACAGAUCCAAACAAACUCCCAAAAACAAAUUAAAGCAAUCAAAAGGAUAACGACCCUUAAGUCCUCUUCUGUGUUGUGAGAUGAGAGAUGACACCUAGAGUGCGUCCUCUUCGGCUGGGAGACGGGGGGGGGUCUGAGGAUCCUCCUCUUCGGCUGGGAGACGGGGGGGUCUGAGGAUCCCCCCAAGCAGUAGUUAGUAUAUUUGAGCAUGUUUAGCAGUGUGGUUGCGGGUGCUUUUCAAAUAAUUUUUUGUGCCAAAAUGCAUGCCAAUUAU